GAGUAAUGUCUGGGAAACUGCCUGAUGGAGGGGGAUAACUACUGGAAACGGUGGCUAAUACCGCAUAACGUCGCAAGACCAAAGAGGGGGACCUUCGGGCCUCUUGCCAUCAGAUGUGCCCAGAUGGGAUUAGCUUGUUGGUGAGGUAACGGCUCACCAAGGCGACGAUCCCUAGCUGGUCUGAGAGGAUGACCAGCCACACUGGAACUGAGACACGGUCCAGACUCCUACGGGAGGCAGCAGUGGGGAAUAUUGCACAAUGGGCGCAAGCCUGAUGCAGCCAUGCCGCGUGUAUGAAGAAGGCCUUCGGGUUGUAAAGUACUUUCAGCGGGGAGGAAGGUGUUGUGGUUAAUAACCGCAGCAAUUGACGUUACCCGCAGAAGAAGCACCGGCUAACUCCGUGCCAGCAGCCGCGGUAAUACGGAGGGUGCAAGCGUUAAUCGGAAUUACUGGGCGUAAAGCGCACGCAGGCGGUCUGUCAAGUCGGAUGUGAAAUCCCCGGGCUCAACCUGGGAACUGCAUUCGAAACUGGCAGG
rnacentral:rRNA from 4 species